rnacentral:rRNA from 1 species
UAGGGAAUCUUCCACAAUGGACGCAAGUCUGAUGGAGCAACGCCGCGUGAGUGAAGAAGGUUUUCGGACCGUAAAGCUCUGUUGUUGGUGAAGAAGGAUAGAGGUAGUAACUGGCCUUUAUUUGACGGUAAUCAACCAGAAAGUCACGGCUAACUACGUGCCAGCAGCCGCGGUAAUACGUAGGUGGCAAGCGUUGUCCGGAUUUAUUGGGCGUAAAGCGAGCGCAGGCGGAAGAAUAAGUCUGAUGUGAAAGCCCGUCGGCU